rnacentral:rRNA from 1 species
AUUGAACGCUGGCGGCAUGCCUUACACAUGCAGGUCGAACGGCAGCACGGGGCAACCUGGUGGCGAGUGGCGAACGGGUGAGUAAUGCAUCGGAACGUGCCAUUGAGUGGGGGAUAACGUAGCGAAAGUUGCGCUAAUACCGCAUAUUCUGUGAGCAGGAAAGCAGGGGACCGCAAGGCCUUGCGCUCUUUGAGCGGCCGAUGUCAGAUUAGCUAGUUGGUGAGGUAACGGCUUACCAAGGCGACGAUCUGUAGCGGGUCUGAGAGGAUGAUCCGCCACACUGGAACUGAGACACGGUCCAGACUCCUACGGGAGGCAGCAGUGGGGAAUUUUGGACAAUGGGCGCAAGCCUGAUCCAGCCAUGCCGCGUGAGUGAAGAAGGCCUUCGGG